CACACGAGGGUUUUACUGUCUCUUACUUCUAAUCAGUGAAAUUGACCUUCCCGUGAAGAGGCGGGAAUAUAUUAAUAAGACGAGAAGACCCUAUGGAGCUUUAACUACUUAGCCCAAAGAAACAAAAUUUAUUUCUAAGGAAACAACAACAUUCUCUAUGGGUUAACAGCUUUGGUUGGGGUGACCUCGGAGAAUAAAAAAUCCUCCGAGCGAUUUUAAAGACUAGACCCACAAGUCAAAUCACAUAAUCGCUUAUUGAUCCAAAAAAUUGAUCAACGGAACAAGUUACCCUAGGGAUAACAGCGCAAUCCUAUUCAAGA
rnacentral:rRNA from 1 species